ACAGGACUGGAAUGUUUCAGUAAAUGUUUCAUCCCACAAACAUUUACUGCACCAGAGAGAGAGAGAAAGGGAAAGAGAGAGAGAUGAGCACAUGGGGCCCUGUCCCAGGAACGUGUCUUCUUCCGGAGUUCUUUACAGGUCUUCCAUUUCUGUGAAUCAGCGACGUGGAAAACCCAGGCCUCAGAAAAAUUAAGGGAGGCUUGAAGUGAGCAAAGCAGAGCAGAGUGUUGGCAAGAGCUGAGGGCUGCCACAGCGGGAAAAUCAAGCAAUGCGUCAUCUGAGAGAACUCGUGGUGAUGUCUGCCUCCUCCCAGCAGCAUCCGCACCGGCUGGGACAGUCAGAUCACUGUGACUUGGGCAGAGAUGAAAACGCGCAGCACGGCCAGGGUAUUAUAGAGGAACACGUCAUAGCAUCCCACGCAGAGCCCUGAUUCUCCAGGAAAUUGACGGAGUGCCUGGCGGAGGCCACAGCACGGCUGGGGGAGGCCAGCUCUCGGGGAGCCGUUCCUCAGCCCCCACAAAGACCCUCAGGAGGACUCCCACGCUGUGCCACCAUCGUCCACUAGGGGGCAGGCGGAGGCAGGAGAAAAGGUCAGGUCCUGAGGCUGAGUGCCAGUUACCCCUCCCGAGCAGACACCUUUCCAGUAGAUGCCCAUCAUCAGGAUGCCUAGGAAACUGCGAUAGCUGUGAUGGACGUGGAAUCAGGACAGAGGGACUUGGAAGAUCUCAUGAAGUGUUCUCUCUGGGCUGUGGGAAAGCCUGAUGAAAUAGCCCUGCUUCUGGGGAAGGCUCACCUCCCUAGAGAUGGAACAGUCCCCACUGCCCUGGGGGAGCCGUCUGCUCACUGAGCGGGGCUGAUGAGCCCUGCUGCCCUGGCUCUUCUGACCCCCAUCACCCUCCUUCCCUUGAGGACCACCCUCCUCUGUCAUCAUGUGCCUCACUCAAGGGUCUGACUGCUGUGUUUGCUAACGCCCAGUCUCUCAGGAGUGACCUUUGACGUUCUAUGCACAGGUUCCGGAGCCCAGGCUUCAGCAGGGCGUUCUCCUGAAUGGAGCUGCAGCCCUGAGUGGUAACCCUGGGUCAGGUGUGUCCUCCAGGCUUGUCGCUUGGUUAUACCCUGUAGGAUAUCUUCUCCUUGACUGUGGUCUAAUUUUGAUAGACAUUUCUGCCAAGUGGACAGGGAAUGACUUUGUGAAGUUCGUAUUUCUCCUAAUAGAGGGGCAAGGGAAACAAAAAGAAACAAACGCUGUGGUUCCCCUGUCUUUAACCAAGGAAAGCAGAAAGUUUCCUGUUUUUCUGUGCCAUCAGGGUAUCUGGUGCUGUCUUUGGAGCCCUGUCCCUCAGAGGCUGUCUCCAGCUUGGGCCCUGGCAGGGGUGCAGCUCCACGGGGCUGGCAGAGGCCUCAGGGUGUGGAAAUGCAUCAGCUCAACCCACUUUUCUGUCACAAACCAAGGGAGACAGUAAGCAAAUCAUGCCGAGAGCCCUUUUAGCCACUUGAGUCAUUCUUACCCCCCAUGGCUGGGCCUUUGUCAGCAUCCUUUGUCACUUUUGAAAAUGUUAUUUCUUAGGGAAUAAAAGAACAGUGUGGCCAUGGUUAGUGUUGCUGAUAAGUUCCAUUACUUGAAGCAUAUUUGCUGCAAUAGAAAAAUAUGAAUCUGAUCAGCGUGUCACAGAGCCUGGUACUGCCACAACGAUCAUGUUUGUCCCCAUGGCACUUGCACCUCAAAGGCAUGUUCUUCAGAAACCCCUGUGCUGGGGAAACGGAUGGACAGUGCUGUGUGACGCUGAUUUCCGUUCAAAAGGAAAGAGAGGAGAAUGAAAAAAAGCUGGUUGGUUGCAGCAAGGCUCUCUAUCACUGCUGCUUCCACGCUAGUCUGGUUCAUUGGUCAGGGAUCUUGAAAAUACAGGUAUAUUCUGUACUUUCUCAGUGUAUCUAGUUCGCAUAACUUCUUGUUCAGCCCUAAGUCAAUAUUCUUCAUGCUCGUUUAGGUUAAAUGUGCCUUUUCCUCCUUCCAGGUGUCUCUGCUUCUCAGGGGCUUUCUCCCUUGCUGUGAGCAUCCUUUGUGGAUUUGAAAAGAUGUGGGGUCCCGGCUUCCUAGGGUCAACAUGGAGCCGCUUUCUGGAUGGCUGUUUUUACUCCCUUCUGGCGUUCCUCUCCCUAAACGUCGUUUUGUCAAAGAGACAGGAGCCCAGGAACCCUUGAGAGGUAAUAUGUUGUCCCCAGUUACACUGUGAGCUGGUGCGAGGCUGGCUAUCAGACCAGGCCUCCUGACUCCACACUUUUGCCAUGGUUCCCUUUGAUGUUUCUGGGGGGCUCCUCAGCCCUUGUGAUAAAAAUUCUCUGCACGUUGUCUCCCACAGACAGUUGCAAAGUCGAUAAAUAGGUGAGACUCUAGGCCCUGGAUGCUCUGUACCAUCUAGUAAGAAGUUCCUGCAAUGGGCUCUUGCACCAUCCAGAAAGCUUUUCUAACAGAAGAAACACCUGCUACUUUAUUGUUUACUUUGGUUUUCUUUCUACAUAUUCCUUAAGAAAUUUUUUAAGUGCAGUUGAAAAUAUUAUAUAAGUUAUAGGUGUACAGUAUAGUCAUCCACAAUUUUUAAAGGUUAUACUCCAUUUGUAGUUAUUAUGAGAUAUUUCCAAUAUUCCCCAUGUUGUACAAUAUAUCCCUUUGGCUUAGUUUAUACCCAAGAGUUUGUACCUCUUAAUCCUCUACCCCUUUAUUGCCCCUUCUUCCUUCCCUCUCCCCACUGACUUGUUCUGUGAGUCUGUUUCUUUUUCGUUAUAUUCACCAGCUUGUUGUACCUUAUAGAUUUCACAUGUUAGUGAGAUAUACAGUAUUUGUCUUUUUCUGUCUGACUUAUUCCACUCAGCAUAAUGGCCUCCAAGUCUAUCCAUGUUGCUACAAUUGGCAAAAUUUUAUUCUUUUUUAUGGCUGA